GGUUAAGUUAGAAAGGGCGCACGGUGAAUGCCUUGGCACUAGGAGCCGAUGAAGGACGGACUAACACCGAUAUGCUUCGGGGAGCUGUAAGUGAGCUUUGAUCCGGAGAUUUCCGAAUGGGGAAACCCACUGUUCGUAAUGGAACAGUAUCUUUAUCUGAAUACAUAGGAUAUUGAAGGCAGACCCGGGGAACUGAAACAUCUAAGUACCCGGAGGAAGAGAAAGCAAAUGCGAUUUCCUGAGUAGCGGCGAGCGAAACGGAAUUAGCCCAAACCAAGAGGCUUGCCUCUUGGGGUUGUAGGACACUCUAUACGGAGUUACAAAGGAACGAAGUAAAUGAAGCGACCUGGAAAGGUCCGUCGAAGAAGGUAACAACCCUGUAGUUGAAACUUCGUUCCCUCUUGAGUGGAUCCUGAGUACGGCGGAACACGUGAAAUUCCGUCGGAAGCUGGGAGGACCAUCUCCCAAGGCUAAAUACUACCUAGUGACCGAUAGUGAACCAGUACCGUGAGGGAAAGGUGAAAAGCACCCCGGAAGGGGAGUGAAAGAGAUCCUGAAACCGUGUGCCUACAAGUAGUCAGAGCCCGUUAACGGGUGAUGGCGUGCCUUUUGUAGAAUGAACCGGCGAGUUACGAUCCCAUGCAAGGUUAAGCUGAUAAGGCGGAGCCGUAGCGAAAGCGAGUCUGAAUAGGGCGUUUAGUAUGUGGUUGUAGACCCGAAACCAGGUGAUCUACCCAUGUCCAGGGUGAAGUUCAGGUAACACUGAAUGGAGGCCCGAACCCACGCACGUUGAAAAGUGCGGGGAUGAGGUGUGGGUAGCGGAGAAAUUCCAAUCGAACCUGGAGAUAGCUGGUUCUCUCCGAAAUAGCUUUAGGGCUAGCCUCAUGUUGUGAGAGUCUUGGAGGUAGAGCACUGAUUGGACUAGGGGCCCCCAACGGGUUACCGAAUUCAGUCAAACUCCGAAUGCCAAAGACUUAUCCAUGGGAGUCAGACUGCGAGUGAUAAGAUCCGUAGUCAAAAGGGAAACAGCCCAGACCACCAGCUAAGGUCCCCAAGUAUACGUUAAGUGGAAAAGGAUGUGGAGUUGCUUAGACAACCAGGAUGUUGGCUUAGAAGCAGCCACCAUUUAAAGAGUGCGUAAUAGCUCACUGGUCGAGUGACUCUGCGCCGAAAAUGUACCGGGGCUAAACGUAUCACCGAAGCUGUGGAUUGACAUCUAAGAUGUCAGUGGUAGGAGAGCGUUCUAAGUGCUGUGAAGUCAGACCGUAAGGACUGGUGGAGCGCUUAGAAGUGAGAAUGCCGGUAUGAGUAGCGAAAGACAAGUGAGAAUCUUGUCCACCGAAUGCCUAAGGUUUCCUGAGGAAGGCUCGUCCGCUCAGGGUUAGUCGGGACCUAAGCCGAGGCUGAAAAGCGUAGGCGAUGGCCAACAGGUUGAUAUUCCUGUACCACCUCCCCGCCGUUUGAGUAAUGGGGGGACGCAGUAGGAUAGGGUAAGCGCGCUGCUGGAUAUGCGCGUUCAAGCAGUUAGGCUGAUGAGUAGGCAAAUCCGCUCAUCAUAAAGGCUGAGCUGUGAUGACGAGGGAAUUAUAGUACCGAAGUUCCUGAUUCCACACUGCCAAGAAAAGCCUCUAGCGAGGCGGGAGGUGCCCGUACCGCAAACCGACACAGGUAGGCGAGGAGAGAAUCCUAAGGUGAUCGAGAGAACUCUCGUUAAGGAACUCGGCAAAAUGACCCCGUAACUUCGGGAGAAGGGGUGCUCUGGUAGGGUGUAUAGCCCGAGAGAGCCGCAGUGAAUAGGCCCAGGCGACUGUUUAGCAAAACACAGGUCUCUGCGAAGCCGCAAGGCGAAGUAUAGGGGCUGACGCCUGCCCGGUGCUGGAAGGUUAAGAGGAGGGGUUAUCCUUUGGGAGAAGCUCUGAAUCGAAGCCCCAGUAAACGGCGGCCGUAACUAUAACGGUCCUAAGGUAGCGAAAUUCCUUGUCGGGUAAGUUCCGACCCGCACGAAAGGCGUAACGAUCUGGGCACUGUCUCAACGAGAGACUCGGUGAAAUUAUAGUACCUGUGAAGAUGCAGGUUACCCGCGACAGGACGGAAAGACCCCGUGGAGCUUUACUGUAGCCUGAUAUUGAAUUUUGGUACAGCUUGUACAGGAUAGGUAGGAGCCUGAGAAGCCGGAGCGCUAGCUUCGGUGGAGGCGUCGGUGGGAUACUACCCUGGCUGUAUUGAAAUUCUAACCCGCGGCCCUGAUCGGGCCGGGAGACAGUGUCAGGUGGGCAGUUUGACUGGGGCGGUCGCCUCCUAAAAUGUAACGGAGGCGCCCAAAGGUUCCCUCAGAAUGGUUGGAAAUCAUUCGUAGAGUGUAAAGGCACAAGGGAGCUUGACUGCGAGACCUACAAGUCGAGCAGGGACGAAAGUCGGGCUUAGUGAUCCGGUGGUUCCGUAUGGAAGGGCCAUCGCUCAACGGAUAAAAGCUACCCCGGGGAUAACAGGCUUAUCUCCCCCAAGAGUCCACAUCGACGGGGAGGUUUGGCACCUCGAUGUCGGCUCAUCGCAUCCUGGGGCUGUAGUCGGUCCCAAGGGUUGGGCUGUUCGCCCAUUAAAGCGGUACGCGAGCUGGGUUCAGAACGUCGUGAGACAGUUCGGUCCCUAUCCGUCGUGGGCGUAGGAAAUUUGAGAGGAGCUGUCCUUAGUACGAGAGGACCGGGAUGGACACACCGCUGGUGUACCAGUUGUCUUGCCAAAGGCAUCGCUGGGUAGCUAUGUGUGGACGGGAUAAGUGCUGAAAGCAUCUAAGCAUGAAGCCCCCCUCAAGAUGAGAUUUCCCAUAGCGCAAGCUAGUAAGAUCCCUGAAAGAUGAUCAGGUUGAUAGGUCAGAGGUGGAAGCGUGGCGACAUGUGUAGCUGACUGAUACUAAUCGAUCGAGGACUUAACCAA
rnacentral:rRNA from 1 species